rnacentral:lncRNA from 1 species
AGGUUUUUUGGUUUUUUUUUUUUUUUCUCAUUCCUGUCUUGGGAGCUUUCCCCAACCAGGAGAGUGAAGAUGGGCGGAGCUGUCACACCAACUGUUAGCCUGCCUUGGCUGAGAGGAGAGGAGGCGAGGAGGGAGCGACCACCCAGCUUUAGUCGUUUUAAAACAGCUCCUGACCCUAGAAGAAGGGAAAUGGAGAUGAAGACCCAAUUGACUUGGUAUGAAGUUUAAAUGCCCCUUCAAGACUUGGGGGUCGAGGACGGGAGAGUGAUCUUUCAGCAGACUGAUCGAACACACAGGCUUCUCAGCCCACUCCCUCCAGUCAAGGUUAAGGCCUGGCAAAGGUGGAGGAAGAGAAGCUGAGGAGAAAAAGGCGAGGAGAGCCUAGGCACAGGAAGGUGACCGCUUCCCUCCCUCCCAGUGCUGAUUUCCUGUGGACCAGAUUCCAGCACAGUGGAGGGCCAGAGCUCAGGGAACAGACCCAGCAGCACAGCAAGUCUCCAAGGAAAGCUCUAGCAGUCUCCAGGGGCUGAAGGCAGGACUGGGGAAGCGGCUAGCCAGGCUGCAGAAGGCAAAUGCUCCCAGACGGCUGUCCAGCACGCAUCCGCCUUCCUAGCCAAGUUUCCUGGGCUCCUGCCACAGAUCUAAGCCUCAUCCUGACAUCCUGCCCUCUGUGCUCUGGGAUGGCCCAGGGGAGAUGCUUAGCCUUGGCUCCUUGUCUGCUGGUGGAGGGGACACACACCCUUUCUGGACCACAGGCCAAAAAGAAGACCUGACGUCAUCCUGAGCACCCCCGCCAUGCAGAGUGUGUUCGCAGACUGCCAACGGGCUGGCUCCGGCCAGCAGAAGUGAACAGAGGUGGAGGUUCAGCCUGACAGCUUCUCCCCAAAGCCAUGGAGAGAAAACCUUACCACCCCCACCGCCCAGCUACUUCCAGCAAGUUGUCCAGCCUGACCCCUCUAUUUCCCCUGUUGUCUCUUAUCUGGGUCCCUGAGACCCACCCCAUCUCCAAUAAAGAACAUUGCAUACUGUGCAUC